AUUGAACGCUGGCGGCAGGCUUAACACAUGCAAGUCGAGCGGGGUGAUGGUGCUUGCACUAUCACUUAGCGGCGGACGGGUGAGUAAUGCUUAGGAAUCUGCCUAUUAGUGGGGGACAACAUCUCGAAAGGGAUGCUAAUACCGCAUACGUCCUACGGGAGAAAGCAGGGGAUCACUUGUGACCUUGCGCUAAUAGAUGAGCCUAAGUCGGAUUAGCUAGUUGGUGGGGUAAAGGCCUACCAAGGCGACGAUAUGUAGCGGGUCUGAGAGGAUGAACCGCCACACUGGGACUGAGACACGGCCCAGACUCCUACGGGAGGCAGCAGUGGGGAAUAUUGGACAAUGGGGGGAACCCUGAUCCAGCCAUGCCGCGUGUGUGAAGAAGACCUUAUGGUUGUAAAGCACUUUAAGCGAGGAGGAGGCUCUUUUGGUUAAUACCCAAGAUGAGUGGACGUUACUCGCAGAAUAAGCACCGGCUAACUCUGUGCCAGCAGCCGCGGUAA
rnacentral:rRNA from 1 species